rnacentral:rRNA from 1 species
AUGUAUUAUACAGACCCAAGCACCCCAUUUCAGGAUACAAGCAACAACCAAUCAUUGGGUGACUAUCAUCGACCAGAUCCUACUUUCUGCUACUAUUUUUGCUCUUGCUUGUGUGCUAACUUGCAGUACUUAUUUAUACAGACCCUAAAGAAUAUUAUGCACGCAAUAGAGAUGGUAUUCUUAAAAGACGUCGUCAAGCCCGUGAAAAGAAACAGGCAGAAACAACACUACUUAGUGAUGAGCAAAUGUAGCACAUACACCCCUGGCCAUGACCCAAGGUUAAAAUGCCCUUGUACUGCAUGCUUAUGUAUUAUCCAUAUACUCCCUCCGUUCCUAAAUAGAAGUCUUUGUAGAGUCACUAUGGACUACAUACGGAGCAAAAUGAGUGAACGUAAACUCUAA